UACGUAGGUGGCAAGCGUUGUCCGGAAUUAUUGGGCGUAAAGGGCUCGUAGGCGGUCUGUCGCGUCGGGAGUGAAAACUCAGGGCUUAACCCUGAGCCUGCUUCCGAUACGGGCAGACUAGAGGUAUGCAGGGGAGAACGGAAUUCCUGGUGUAGCGGUGAAAUGCGCAGAUAUCAGGAGGAACACCGGUGGCGAAGGCGGUUCUCUGGGCAUCACCUGACGCUGAGGAGCGAAAGCGUGGGGAGCAAACAGG
rnacentral:rRNA from 1 species